AGCAGCCGCGGUAAUUCCAGCUCCAAUAGCGUAUAUUAAAGUUGUUGCAGUUAAAAAGCUCGUAGUUGAAUUUCGGGAUCAGUAGGUCGGUCGUGCCACUGGUAUGAACUGGUCUCACUGGUUCCUCCCUCUUGACGAACUGCAAUGCUAUUAAUUUAGUGUAGUAGGAAAUCAGGACUGUUACUUUGAAAAAAUUAGAGUGUUUAAAGCAGGCUUUGGCUUGAAUACAUUAGCAUGGAAUAAUGAAAUAGGACGUUCGAUCCUAUUUUGUUGGCUUCUAGGAUUGACGUAAUGAUUAAUAGGGACAGUUGGGGGCAUUAGUAUUCAAUUGUCAGAGGUGAAAUUCUUGGAUUUAUUGAAGACUAACUACUGCGAAAGCAUUUGCCAAGGAUGUUUUCAUUAAUCAAGAACGAAAGUUAGGGGAUCGAAGACGAUCAGAUACCGUCGUAG
rnacentral:rRNA from 1 species